AUUGAACGCUGGCGGCAUGCCUUACACAUGCAAGUCGAACGGCAGCACGGGAGCAAUCCUGGUGGCGAGUGGCGAACGGGUGAGUAAAGUAUCGGAACGUGCCCAGUCGUGGGGGAUAACGUAGCGAAAGUUACGCUAAUACCGCAUACGAUCUAUGGAUGAAAGCGGGGGAUCGCAAGACCUCGCGCGAUUGGAGCGGCCGAUAUCAGAUUAGGUAGUUGGUGGGGUAAAGGCUCACCAAGCCGACGAUCUGUAGCUGGGCUGAGAGGACGACCAGCCACACUGGGACUGAGACACGGCCCAGACUCCUACGGGAGGCAGCAGUGGGGAAUUUUGGACAAUGGGCGAAAGCCUGAUCCAGCCAUGCGGCGUGCAGGAUGAAGGCCUUCGGGUUGUAAACUGCUUUUGUACGGAACGAAAAGGUUUGGCCUAAUAAGCUGAGCUCAUGACGGUACCGUAAGAAUAAGCACCGGCUAACUACGUGCCAGCCGCCGCAGUAA
rnacentral:rRNA from 1 species